rnacentral:lncRNA from 1 species
UUUUUUUUUGUUUUCUACUAUGUUACCCAACAUUACCUAUAGGUCUAUCCAACCCAUCCCUGAUAUAUUGAACCGACUCAUGACUAUGGUUUCACCACGGGAACGGGUCACCUGCAAAAUCAAGAUCGUGCAAACCUCAAUCCUCCAAAGCACCUUAGAAAUUGUCCAUCACAGCCUAGGGGCAAGCCACCCCUCCGUCCUUCUCACACAGCAACAAUAUUUCAUUAAAAUCUCAAGCCCCCAGCCAAGGCUUGUUACUAUGGUUUUGUAAGGUCCCUAAAAGGCGCCAUGUCACCUCCUUCUUGUCCAUUUUUUAAUCUCCACAGACCCUCUAAAACCCCACUCAAAACCAUCCUCCUUAUUUUUUUUUGUGCCAAUGUGGUACCUUGAGCAUCACCCGUCCUUGCAUACAUUUCCUGAAAACACAGCAAGCCGGCCACUCUGACCAUUAAUUUUCUGAAUCAAUUUCACCUCAGCCACUCCAACCCUUCCCCUAGGCAUCGGGUCCUCCUUCUUCCGGACAUCCAGGAGACCUGUAAUUGGCGAGCCAUUCCCCAAACACCGGCAAUUCAAUGCCACUAGCCUCAUUGAUUCCUGCUGGUGCGUCAAGCAAACCUUACUAGUGAGUAAUAAGAAGUACUCCAUCUGUUUACAAAUAUAAGAUGUUCUAACUUUCUUUUUGCCUGAAUCAGAUGUAUAUAGACAUAUUUUAAUGUGUUUGUUGACUCAUUUCAAUCUGUAUGUACUGGAAAUAUCCAAAAUGCCUGGUAUUUGUCGACGAAGGGAGUGGUACACACGUCAAGCGUACGUGUUAACGCCUGCUGCUGCCGCUGUUGGCAACGAAAUGCAGCUCGCCACCACACGGAUCGAUCCCGUUCCAGCGUAGUUUAAACGCGCCGGACGAUACACGGGGCGCGUGGAUUCGUGACGGUGGGAAUAGGAUCAGUUCGCACCCUCGGCCCUUCAACUAGGCGGUAUCGGCACUUCCAGCUGGCCCGCACAAAAGGCGGAGCCUCCAGCAGCUGAAAUGGUGAGGGCGUUGGAUCUCGCCGCCGCCGCCGCCGGCUCCGUGCAGCGCGCGCCCGGCGCCGUCGUGGGUCUGCUCUUCGUCCUCGUGGCCGCGGUCGCCGUCGUGGCCAUCGCGGCGUUCGGCUGCGCCGACGACGGGAGGGCCAAGCGACGCCGCCGCGAGCGCUGGGGCAGCGGCAGCGGCGCCGGCUACGGAGGUGAUGGCGCCGGCGGCGGCGGCUGCGGUGGUGGAGGCGGUCACGGGGGCGGUGGGGGCGGCGGUUGAGGAGCUGAGCGCGCCACGCGAGGGGGUGGCUCCAUCCUGUCUACCUGACCCUGACGGACGGCUCGGCUUGCUCUGCUUCUCUUUUGAAUUUCAUCGUCUCGUUGAAUGUAUCUGCGCUUCUGCAGUAUAGAUCGGUUGUAAAAUACGUACUUGUAUGCUUAUGGACGCCAUUUUGCUGUGUCAUGGUGGCUGUUUCGAUUGUUCUGACCAUGAGUACUGAGCUAUAGGCAAUCUGUAUGGAACUUUGAUCUUUUUUCUUUUUGGUGGUACUUUGAUCUUUCUUGAUCGUUGUGUUCAUCAUAACCUCUUGGGCGGUGAGUACCACUAGCUAGCACCGUAGCAGAGGCGGCGAUGGGUGCACGGCCGGAUCAGGAAUUCUUCGGUGGCGGCAUGGCCGACGGCCGGAUCAGGAAACGCGGGUGAUGCAUUUUGUCCAGCUAUAUGCAUGUUCGUGAAGAUCAUUUUGCUAUAUGUUUGUGAAGAUCAUUUUGCUGUGUCAUGGUGGCUGGUUCACUUGUUGUAAUGAGUAGUGAGGCUACCACCGAUGGAGGCAAUCUGUACUGUCAAACUGUGGUCUUUUAUCCUUUUGAUCGUUGUGUGUGUUCAUCAUCGUAGCCGCUACGGCGAGCACUGGGUGAACGGCCGGAUCGGGAAUUCGGCGGUGGCGGCAUGGGGGAUGUCCGAUCAGGAACUCGCUACUGAUGCUUUUUUGUCCAGCACCAGCAGUCUCGGUCUCUGAGAUGCCUCAGAUCCACACCAAAAAAGCGUGUGGACGUCCCUCCAGAAGAGCAACGAUCGAGGAGCGACCGGAACGCGUGGUGCUAGCGCCAAGGCACUGCCCAUGCCGUCGGUGAGACCUCGCCGGGCCGUGUGGCUGGAGGUGACCAGCCAGUCUGGGCCGCCGGUGAGAAGACGACGGAAGGAGGCCCAAACAUGGCACGCGCCGAGGCUGCCACGCGCAGCGGUACCGCGCGCUACGCGACACCGGGCCUCGGAGGCGUGCAUGGCCGACACAAAGAGAAAAGGAGAGGAGAGAUCUGGAUAUGGUACUGGUGCUACAGUAGCACCGUGGAGUGGGGCCAACUCCACCGCACGAGCCCAUCCUUUCCACGCGCGUCCGUCUGUGGUAAAACAGACGAACCAGACGGUCCAGCGCGCAGACGCAAACGGAUUUUUGUCCGUUUUCUGUCCGCUCUCGACCCAUCCCCAGUCCAAGUUUGCAUCGCUUUUUGGGUGAACGGACAUCACGCGGACCCGCGGGCCGUCUGCGCGUGUCCUCCCCUGGCCCGCCCGUCGGUGUCAUAGGGGUGCCUUUUUCUAUCCGCCCCCCUCCUUUCUCCGGCCGCACCCCCUCCACUCUUCCCUACUCUUUCCCUCGCCGCCGCCGCUGCUGCCAUUGCAGUUGUGCAGCUCGAACGCGCGCUCGCCCAGCCCCUUCCCCUCGGCGCCCCCGAGCUAUCCAACCACGGCCACCUGCUUUGCGCACCCGCCGGCCGUAUUUGGGACGGAUUCGGUUGGUCUUCAGCUCGUCCGGCUAUGGGAGGCCGUGCCGCGCCAUGGACUGGCCGGGCAUAGGGCCGGAAGGCCACAUGCAGACAGUGGCUCCACCUCUAGCCGCUUGGAUCUACACCGUCGGUGGUCCGCCGACAGAUACACGAAUGGCGGUCGGCCGGGCUCGGUGCUAGCUCAAAAGCUCGUCGGCUCACCAUUAUCACUCAUUAAGUGCGACCACUGCCCAAAGAAGGUCGUGCGCCGCGUGUCUACAACGCCGGAACAUCCCAGAUGGGUGUUCAUCAAGUGCUUAAAUGAUGGGGUAUGUGCUCUUUUUAGCUUCGGUUUGUGCUCUAGAUUUGACUAGUUGUGCUAACUUCAAAUGUUAUUGUGUAGCAUGGAUGCAAGUUUUGGUAUUGGGAAGAAGAGUACAUCGAUAUAUUGAUAGAGCGCAAUUUAGUAGAUGUUCGUGCAGUUUUAGCUAUCAUAGAGGCUGUAGAUGAGACAAAUGCACUUGUUGCUAGAUUAGAGGCUAGACACGAGACUAGAUGCGAAGAAGCAACCUCUACUUCUUUAGAUUCAAAAAAGAAAGAAGCACGCAAGAUUGAGCCUCCUCUGCAGAUCAACAACGAAUGCAUCAAGAAGGCACUAAUCCAACUUACAAGAGCAGUUAUGAAAGUUUGAUAUCUUUUAAAAUGUAUUUUUGUGGUUCUUAUUUUUUUGGGUCUUGUUUUUCUAGUCAAAAUUUGAUGAUGUAUUCUCAUGUAUCAAAAAUGAAUGAUAACAAAAAGUAAAGGGUUAGCAAAGAAAAAAGUACGCGGACAGAAUGCGGCCGGGAUGUAUCCGCGCGUUGGACGCAGGCCACCGCAUUCCAGAAACGGCCCGGACACGAUCCCAUUGCCCUAUCCAAACAUAUAUAAUCCGGGUAAAAUGCACGUCCGUUUAGGUUGCGCGAUGGAGUUGGCCUGAAUACAAUGUACACAGCAAAAGAAUGUUUGCUUGCGCAUGAUGCGAGCAUGCCGACGAUGAUUGCAUUUGCAUCCAGGGAGCACGAGGGUAACCUAAACCUGGCACCGCUUCUUUCCGAUCAAACAGUAAACACUAUCCACAUAUCGAUGAUCCUUCGGCAAAUAUGGUGUUUUGAACCUUCUAUGAAAGUUGACCCUCAUUUGAAUUUUUUUGGGGGUCUGACCAUUUUCCUACCGCCAUGGUCAGAUCCUGAAAAAAAUCAAACCAGGGUAAGAUCCAGCUUAAAUUCCAUCCAAAACAGCUUGUCUUACAUUUAUUUAGGUACGAAUGUGGGACACUUUGGUUUGUAGGAUUUUGAAAACAUAGAAAUAGAAAAAGUAUAAGGUUGGAGUGGCAUGCCCACUUAAAUCCUAUAGGAUUAGCAAUGAAUGUUUGAUGUCACAGGAAAAACAAAAAAAUAUAAAAAAAGAUUGAAGUGGAUGUUAGAUUUUUUUUAUAAAAUGUAGUAUAAAAGAUUCCAUAGAAAAAAUCCUAUGGAAUCCAAUUCUAUAAAUCAAUAAACCAACAUAAAAAAAUCUAAAUAUUUCAAUCCUUCAAAAAUCAUUAAAUUCAUUUGAAUCAAAGAAGCCCUAAGUAAGACAAGCUCUUUGGAAUGGAGGUAGUACAUUCAAGCACAUACUGCAUGCCAUUUCUCAGGAAGCUACUAUCAGUAAGCUAUAGGAUAUCUGAAGGAUCUAAAUCCUUAGAAAAUUCUUUAGAAAAUUUUUCUAUGUUGGCCUUUUGAUUCAUAGGUUUGGAUCCCAUGGAAAUUUUUCCUAUAAAUCUUUUAUACUACAUUUCAUAGAAAAUCUAACAUACACUUUAAUCUCUUUUUACAAUCUUUGCUUUCCAUGUGGCAUCAAACACUUCCUGCUAAUCCUAUAGGAUCCAACUUGGCAUGCCAUCCCAAUCCUAUGCUUUCCCUAUUCCUACAUUUUCAAAAUCCUGCGAAUCAAAGAGGCCCUAAUCAUUCAUAUUUCAUAGUUACAGAUACGAUGGCAGUAGUACGUUUUCUAGAUGUAAAAUGGUAGUAUCAUGUUUCAGCAACAAGCAUGGAGUAAACAUGAACCUUGGAAUUUAUAUCUCCUCUCUGACUAACCCUGGAGCGACCAUACCGUUCCAGGUGUACAUGCAGGGGGGCUCUAAUUUAAAGCGAUCGACCUACAAAAGAGCACAAAAGAGCAAAAGCUACAAAGAUGUCCCUGCUCUGCUUACGUUCUACAGGGCUGGCUGGCUGGCUAAAACUAUGAUGGCUCCAGCAGAAAGACAAAGCUCAAAGGAGCAGCAAACAACAAAGCCCAGCCAUCACAGACGCAAAGUGGCCAAAGCUACGAAAGGGAAAAGAAAAGUUCAGAAGAUACAACCAGAAACAAAUGCUAGCUAGCUUGCUUGUUGUUAGCACACCACAGUGGUCGUCUUCUACCCUGCGUCUGACCUGUCAGCGUCUCAUCCAUGCAUGCUGCUUCCUAUAUUUGCACCAUAUCAUCAUGCCCUACCCUACCCCCCACCUCCUCUUUUACCUCUUUGUUGUGUCGUGUGGCUUCUGAGAACUAUGUCAGUCUUGAUCUCAUCACAUCGCAUCCAUCAGGGCCAGGGCCAGGCCACCUUCAUUCUCCACCGCCCCGAAUCAUUCCAUUCCAAAGAUCGGCGUCUGAAAGGCUGCCACAUUUGGAUAGUAUCCAAAGGACCCGGCCGUCACCGAGCUUUCGUAGGGCCCACCGCUGCUGAAAGCCGCCAUGGGCGUCGACGCGCCGAACCCCAUGGACUGAUGCUGAUCAUGCUGCUGCUGCUGCCCCUCCCCCUCCUGCUCCUGCUGAUGGUCGUGUUGCUGAAGGUGCAAGUCGACGCCGUUGCUACCGUAGCAGUGAGGCGCCAUGGCGCCGCCGGGGCCGGCGUUGGCGAAGUCGAGGUUGACGCCGGAGCUGUAGAGCCCGUAGCCCAGCCCCUGCAGGUUGCCCUGCUGGUGGUGCUGGAGCGCCAGGAACGAGAGGUAGUCCUGCUGCUGCUGGUCGUACUUCAUCGGCAGCGCCGUGAACGCCAGCGAGUGCGGCGCUUCGACGGGCAAUGGAGCGGCUUCCGGGGAGCUGGACUCCAGGGCCUUGCUGCCCCGCCCCGCGCCGCCGGACAUGUUGCCGAUCGGGAGGUUGCUGCUGAUGAUGCUCUCCACGUUGUACCGGCCGAUCUCGAAGUUGGUGACGGCGUUCAGGCCCCGGAACUUGAUGGCCGCAAUGUCGUAGGCUUCCGCGGCUUCCUCCUCCGUGCCUACGUAAACAGAAUCUCACUUGUUAGAUUUUUUUAUCAAAAUAUCAGUUGCUUGAGAGCAAGUAACAUUCUUAAUAUUGUUGCAGUAAAAUCAACAUACAUUAGUCAUUGCUACAACAAAAAAAAGAACACAUACGAAACAUUUCACUUGAAAAAACAAACACAGAUGGAACAUAUGGUACAAGCACAUUGACAAAAGUAUGCAGAAGAAUGCCCAUGGAUUUCCAGCUCCUAGACAGCAAUGCAAGCUGCAUCAUUAAGACUUUUGACUAAUUAGCUGCUAGUACUGACAAGCCCAUGAGUGCAAUGAGCUUAGUUAAACCGAGUGCAAUAAUGACCGUCUCCGUAACGUACACUCCUAAUAUAAUCACCGGUCAGACGCUUUGUGGAAAGCUGGCCGCGAAAACAGUAACUAGAUUCCAAGUUCUAAAUACAGGUUGCUAGAUGCAAUGCAGGAAGAAAGUGCCCAGGCUCCCAUCUGAGCAUUACAUACAUUCCAAGCAAGCAUGCAUGGCCAUGGUUUCUUCUUUUCUCUACCCCCUACCCUCCAUGCAAAAAGCCCGAAAACCAUGAUAAAAGAUGACAAAUGGGAAUCAAAUGUGGGCAUCCAUGCCUGUAAGAUACACGUGGUCCAUGGGUGCAUCUGGUCAAACUUGAUGGUUUUUGACCUAGAUAAAAAAUAUGUCGACGAAUCUAGCUACAAGACCUGUACGAACAGACUGUAAAUUAAGAUGAACCUACGUGCACGGCAAAGAGUAUUGUAAUGUGGUUGUUAAUGGAAAGAUGCGACUAAUGCCCGCUUCGAGGGGAGGGCUAACACGUGCUCCCCUCCUACUUGAGAUUUCAUUACUCAACUAAGUUAAGACAAGAUUGUACUCUCACUUAACUCUUGGUUAAUUUAUCCACAUAACUCUCCUUUUGGGAACAAAAGAGAUAAUGUAAGCUACCAGCAAAGAUAUAUCCUGGUUUCAUAAAAAAAAAAACGCCCUGGUUUAGUAACCAGUGGGUGCAGUGUGAGAAAGUAGACGAACAUGCAUGUCUGCAUCCGACUAAGUACAGGAAAUGGAUUUUUGUACAAGGACGUAUGUACUUACUGAAUGUUCCGAGGUAUAGAUCCUUGUUGCCAGCAACACGUCCGAUCCUAGCCUGCCAUCGACCAUGCUGGUGAUGUCUAGAUGAUAGAAUGCAAAAACAAACACUUUUAGAUGACACCACAUGCAAGAGGCCAAACAUGAUCAACACAAGCAAAACAUGGAGGAGAAUAUGAACCUUGUGACACCCCUGUAUAUGGAAGCGCCACGGGAGAAUCCACUACUCUUCCUGCACAAGAUUACAAGUUUUUUCCUCAUCAAAAUUACUACUUGAAUAACAUAAAAAUGCUAUAGUAUUAAGUGAUGAAACAUGCAUCCUAUAUAGAAUGUCCACGCAUGCAUGUAAGCAUGCACACAAUGCAAGUGCAACAUCAGAAGACUAGAAGUGGUCAUUAUUAGUAGCCUAUAUGUAUGUAUGUAUGUACCUCCUAAGUGAAGCUACAAACUCCUGGCGUGUCAUGUGCUUCAUCUCCUCCACCUCCUUUUCAUAGUCGGCAACCUAAAAAAGAACACUUGCCGCAUAAAGAUACACAUCCGGCCAGCACAUCGGUAGAUAUGCCCAUGCUUUGCUGCACAUUCUUGCACAUAUCCAGGAGUUUUUGCAAUCAUGCAUUGCAAUCCAUCAAUCUAUCGUCUUACCGGGAAGUUGGUGGUGGUGCUAGACCCCCAGUACUUCAGCGCGGCGAGAUCGUACGCCCUUGCCGCCUUCUCCUCCUUAUCAUAGCCACCUGUUCCAUGCAGCACCAACACUUUAGCAUCACCCACACCGAUACACUUUUUUUAAUGCAAGAACUGGAAGGCUCUCGUUUCUUACCGAGGUAAACUGGAGAGAGAACACACCAGAAAUAACAGCCAUGAAGGAGGAACACAUCAAGUUGAUAUGUCAAGAACAUCAAGAAGCACAAGUUAAGAACAGCAAAAUGAUGAGUGCAUUUGAUCAUUAGCAGAAGUAUGUGCAUGGUAAGCAGAGAGUAGUAUCGUGUGUUCACCUUGGCGGCCCUUGCGGCUCUGGCCUUCACGCCGGCAGCUGUUGUCCCACAGAUGCGCCUCGUAUCUACCCGUCCAACGGUGCCUAAAAAUCACCCAAAAUGGACAGUAAAAUCAGAUGCGCAGGCCAAAACUUGAUCGAGCAUAGGAAAAAGAACACCUUAUUCAGAACAGCUUAUUACACCAAAUCAACAGCUUAAUUAGUUCCAUCAUUUCUUCUUUUUCUAUGAUGUGGUUAGGUUACGGGAUAAUCUGUGUGCCAUAUGUGCAUCUAGACGAAUAUCGACCAGGUAUUUGCAUGCAAGCAGUACAGACUACAGAGCUCAAGGACCCAAGCAGGGCACCAUUUUGUAUAGGUUUCUUGGGCAAAUAGCUAGAUGGAUCAAUCGAUCGACCACCGCCAUGCAUAGAGCUGGCUUACCGCGUGACGCCACGGUAGAUGGAGGUCCUCUGCCCGAAGGAGUCGACGGCCUUCUUCUGCUCCGGCGUCGGGGCCGUCAUCUUCGGGUCGGCCUGCUCCUGAGGAGCCGCCGCUGGGGAGAUAGUGGGUGCCGUGGUUCCACUAGCACCGCUCAGGAAUCCGGCGGCCAAGAACUUGAGCUCUGAGUCGUACAUCUCGGCGGUCGCUGCAGACACAACCUGGUCGCCGCGGCCGGCGUCAUUAUUAUUCCUCCCGUUGGCGCCGCCCCCGAGGAAGUCCUCGAGCUUGGGCGGCGGCCCGGCCCCGGCGAUGGCGGCCAGCUCGGCGGCCGCUCCCCGCUCCUCCUCCUCCAUCUCACCUGCGCACGCACACAUAUAUACCAAGCACAUCAGCACGGCGGCGCACCAAGAAGGAAGGUAACUGAGCAAGAGAAGGAAGGGAUCGAGGCGGAGUGGGACAGUAGUACUCACAGUGGUGAGCGAGGGAGAAGUUGAGCCACGGGUAGUGGCCAUGCGCGGCGUCCAUGUCCAUGCUCAGAACGAUGAUGAGUAGUCCUACCAGCAAACUCCUCGAUGCGAGCGAGCUAGCGAGAGAUGUUUCGCUUCUCGAGGGAAGAGGAGGAGGAAGGCUAUUGGUUUUGUGGGGCGGUGAAGAAUGGGCGGUGGACUGGACUCGGGGGGCGUUAAAAUAGAGGAAGCAGACUGGACACGGUAGGAGUGCUUCCUGCCAGCCGCGGUAUAUUUCUAUGUGGGUUCCGAGGCGGUGAGAGAUGCUUUUUACCCCCGCCCCUCCGUGCCCUUGGCCUUGGCUUUUUGCUCAAGCGUCGGGCCGGUCACCGUGGCAGCGGUUCCCGGUAGCAGAGGGGAGGCGCCGCGACGUGGUGUUUUACAGGUGGAGGCGCGGUAGGGGUGGCCGGGGAGGCGGUAUAUAUCUUGACCGCCUUCGAAGCAAAGCACGGCCAUGCAUGCCAUGCCAUGCCAUGGCGUGCCCAGCGCUGAACGGAUAGGCUCGAUCGGCCUCUUGCUGCCGCUGAGCUCUGGCUUGGCUCCUCUCUUUUCUACCGGUCCUCUUUUUUUCUUUUUUUGAGGAAAACUACCGCGGUCCUCUUUUGUUCACACAGCCGACUUUUUUCUUCUUUUAAUCGGAGAGUUCUGCGUGCCGAUCGAUCAAGUUGAUCAUGUCCAUGCCGGCCAGCUCGAUCGGCCAACAGAAGGUGACAAAUGCUCCGUGCUUCUGUGGCAGCCGUCCGUGCACGGCAGUGUACAAAUUUUCAUGCCUUUGGUCGUGUGUACGCUUGUGGAUCUGCGGCGCAUGCAUGCAGAUCAGAUAGCGUCCCGUAGCAUGCAUGCAUCAGGUCGAUGGAUGUCCGGCGGGACGAACCGUGGUACUACCGGCCGGCAGCAAGACAUCACGGUCAACGGGUCAAACGUGUCUGGGAAUAAAGCAGGUGUGCGGCGAUCGCAAAGUGGCCAAAGGGAAAAAGGCGAGCGCGGCACGGUCCUUCCUUGCUCGCAACGGACACCGGAAUUAAGGAGGUCCUGAUGAUUUCGUGUCACCGGACAUUCCAAAGCACCGGACAACAGCUAGCUCCAACUACAGUGCAUUUUCUUUUUCUUUAGCUCAAAAUAGUAGUGCACACACCCGCUCGACCUGGGCCAGUAUACAAGGUCGGAAGGUCCCAUUGUACUUAGGUCUAAUUUUAACCACAGGUUUAACAAGGAAAUACGAGUUAUGUUCACUACUAAGAGGAACCACCUCCGUUCCGAAUACCUGGAGCUGUAGGUUUUUUUAAGUCAAACUUCCAUUAUGUUUGAUCAACUUUUCAGAAAGAAAGAAAAUGCUAAAAUCCACAUCUUGGAAUAUGUGUAGUAUGAAAAUAUAUAUUAUGAUUAACCUUUUUUUGCGAGAAAAACUUAAGAUUUAUUCAUCUUCAAAGCUAACUUGGUAUUUUAUACGUUGGCACAUCUUUUCUACUAACUUGGUCAAAAUUUCUAAAAGUUUAGCUUAGGACAAACCUAAAACUUCAAAUAUUUUAAAAUGGAUGGAUUAUAUCGUUACAAACUUCAUCAUAAUGCAAGUCUAUGAUAAAUAACUCAUACUAAUUCUUAGUUAAAUCGAUGGUUAUGGUAGACCUUGUAUACUAGUCCGGAGGGAGUGGUAUAGGCAUGUAUAUAUAUAUACAAGUUGAUCAAGAGUUUCCAAUACCCGACUCAUCGCUUGUGAAAUAUAUUUCUCUUACGCUUGUGUGAAUUUCAGCGUGGGUUUAUUGAUGAAUCGGGAUUAUAAAAGAAUCUCGGACAGUUUCAAUUUCUACAUCGUUUCUUUUAUUUAUUUUAAUGUACAUACUCUUGACAAGUUAACGUCUCUACAAGUUUUAGAACUUAGUUUGGAUGGUCUAAAUUAAUAAAGCCUAAAUGGUUGAACAGGUUGAACCUAAUACGAAGGUGCCAAUAAAAAGCACCGCAAGACAAACAUCAUGUUAAACUAGGAGCACAACCUGAAUACAUGGGACUAAAGUUUGUUGAACCAAGGGAUGAGGAGAGUGCACGGCCAAAAAAUUGGAGGUUGACAAAACGUCAUAAAAAAGACCUCGCUUGCUUCAAAACAAAGUCGGACAUUAUCUUGGUGCCAUUUGUCGAAGAACACUUUGUGAUCCCAUCAUCAUGUCUUGAAGGGUAUCAAUCAAUCAAACAACAAGAAAGUUAACCAGAGAGUUCGAAUGAACAAUGCCAACUGUGGAUAGAAGGGACUCAGAGAAGAACAUUAUAGUUGAGUGAAACCACACCAAUAGAAACCCAGACACUGACUAUGAACCAACCACGUGAUGACCGGCUAACAAAGACGAAAGGCUACCAAUCCAUAGCCUAUGAAAGAGGGUUGUCCUCUUAGCACCACGGUCCCCUAGUUUGUCAAAACAGACCAAGAGUUUUCACCGAGAGCCUAAGGUGGAGGGGACAUGGUCUUAUGACGAUAGUAAGUAGCCCUCGAAAUUGUGACACAUUAUCAUCGACAUCAGUAGUAUGUAUGAUCAAUAUCGAUCUUGGUGAUGCACGAUGCCCGAGAGGUGUGUUCUGAGUGGACACUCUAGCCAAGGUAGUCGUGGAUGACACGGUCACACGAUGACACUCGACGAUCCGGUAAGCAACGGGGACACGGCAGGAGGCAGCAGGUAAGGUUGGUCGCCACGCCACCCGCGCCCCUUGGGGACGGGGCAGGGAAGCGGGGCGUUUUUUGAUGCAAUCACAAAUUUGUGCUACCAUCUGUAAUCUAUUUUUAAAUUUUUGAGCUGGAAAUCCAUGAACAUUUGCACAUAGGGUAUAGCUAGGUCUCAGUCGACUGAAAUUUGGUUAAAUCUCAGGCAAUUAUAUAACAUGCAAGAGAAGAAAAACUGAAAAGAAAAUUUGCAGGAAUAUUAAUGUAAGAUCUCACGAGACUCAGCAAGACUGUUGCACAUAUACUAGGUGCACCGGCCAUCUGGGACAGAAAUACACACAUGACACUGACCGUGACACCAUGAUUAGUAGCAUACACGACCAUAAAACAUGAUGUAGUGGUGAAGCAACAACUUUGUACUAGGCCGGAGAGCAGGAUGGGGGGCUUUAUGUCUCGCAUGGAGGAAGCAAGGAAUUAGCAUCAUCAUCAGCUACUCCCUCCGUUCGGAAUUACUUGUCGCGAAAAUGGAUGUAUCUAGAUGUAUUUUAGUUCUAGAUACAUCAAUUUUCGAGACAAGUAAUUCUGAACGGAGGGAGUACGUAGUACUACUCCUACAAGCGCCCGCCGGGAGACAUGCCAGCCGGGCCCCGCGUUUGUUAGCAAGCAGCUGUCGGUCUGUCCACCGAAAAUAUGCUGCUGGAGCGCCGCGGUUAAGCCCAUGCCGUGCAUGCCCAGCCAGACCCAUCGUGCAUGCAUGCGUCCGCCGCGGCGUUUACUUACUUUGGCUGGCGUCGUUCGGCCGUCCCGCGGGCGGCACGUCGCCGUGGGCUGCAUGCACGCGCCCACAUGGCCGGACGCCGUUGGGCUGGCUGUCGGUCGUUGGGUUCGGUCGCAUGCAAAAAGCUGUUUGUUUGCGGCCGCUCCGGUGAUGAACGUUCUUGAGCGUGUGACGAGAGAUCCGCGUGCCGUCGUAUUUUCGCGAGUUCAUACAGAAGCUUGCUUCUACGAAUGGGCUCGAUCAUUAUAAAACGAAGCCGUCGUUGAGCUCGCCAUGCAUGGACCCUUCGGCUCGGCACGUGACGCGCGGGCGGCGCGGGCGCCCGGAGCUUGCGCUGCGCCGCGGGAGAAGUCGGCAGGCAGCUGCUGCCUGCACCGAGCACCAGCACGUGAGGGACGCGUGCGCCGUGCCUUGGCUACCGCCCGCCGCUGCGUUUAACCGUCUCUGCCGCGCGUGUCCCUACAGGCGCACGUGCGGCCGGAACCGUGGCCGGCCGGCCGUGGCUUGUGCGAAUCCAACCGGCCGGAACAGGGCAGCAAAAGGAAUCUGGUCAAAACGGAGGGCUCGGGUUAGAACAAGGAAGAGAAGAGAAGAGAGUGGGCGUCACGUGGGCGUGCCCACCUAACAUAUAAAAGCUGCUAGAGUACCUGCCCAUCCAGCGCCAUCGCGGAUUCAGAUUCAUCCUGCGCGCACGUUUCACCUCGCUGGCGGCGUAACAGUAAUUUCUGUCGCCCUGGUGAAAAUCCCACCGCUCGUUUUUCUGUACGCCCCGCGAUCGGCCCGGGAGCAGUUGACAAGUGGGCCAGGCCUGCGCGGGGGCCAGCCUAGCAGCGAUACGGUGUGUGCGUCUCUGUGUCCGGGUGAAAACAGGAGCGAUCGAUGGUGGGUUGCCAGGGGCGUUCGUGGGUUGGCAGGGCGUUUUUUUACCGUCCUCGUUUGCACCCAGCGGCCGCGCCUCCGCUUCAGCCGCGACGGGCCCAUCUGUCGGUCUCGCGGGUGCGCGCCUCGGAGAGAGCAACGACCGAGCGGGCGACCUGGGCUAGCAGGCACGACAGAAAAUAAAAGGGGAAGCGGCAGCGAGAGAAAAGAGGAAAAGCAGUCAGACCUAGCCCCGGCCCCCGCAGCCGCCUCCUCUCCUGCCGCCGUCGCCGCCUCGGCCUCGGCCGGCCCUGCUCUGCCGGCGCCCGUCGGCCUUGAUCCGGCCUCGGCAGGAGGAGCUCGCCCUUGAGUAGGACUCAAUAUAAGGAGGGGAGCAGCAGCCGCGCCCCGUGCUCCAUCGGUGCCCUUCGCCCUCGAUCCGUCCUCGGCAGGAGGAGCUCGAGCCGAGGAGCGCGACCUCGAUCCGGACUCGGCAGGAGGAGGGAAGCAGUAGCCGCGCCAGCCGACGCGCCUCGCCGCAACCUCUGCGAUAUCAGGCGCCAUCUCAUUCCCCAUCUCUUCUGGUUGCAUCUCCCCCCGUGAGUUCCUUCUUCUAAUCCCCUUCCUCUCUCGAUUUGGUCUGCAGGAGAGAGAGAAGAUAAGACGGAGAGAGAAGGAGGAGAGGAGGGAGAGGAAAAGAGGUGCGGUGGCAGGGAAAUCGUCGUCGGAUGCGUCUUAUAUGUGGUGAUGAUCUCCUACUUUAUUUUCUCGAUUUGUGUUUUGUUCUUACUUUCUUUCCAACUCAGUAAUCAUGCUCUUGCUUUUCCUUUGGUCUUUGUUGUAGAUGGGUGUGUUCCCAUCAAGUCGAUGGUGGGGUUGAUGUGCCCGUCGAUUCGUGAUCCGCUGGCUGAGCUCAUAUUCUCAAUGGCGGACUGGUGUUCUAUGUUAGUCGGAGCCAUUGUAUGUGGUUGUGCAGUUGCUGAUGCACAGGAGGCGUCCGUGGUGUCAGUUCUUCAUCGUCCAUGCUUAUCUUCUAUAUGCUCUAGCAGCCAGGUGACUACAUAUUACCUUUUCUAUCAAUUCGACCACCUUCUCCUUCUUCACGAGGAUCGGCGGGUCAACAUCGAUGCCCAUGUUAGCGGCAGUGCCCGCUAUGAUUCUCAUGGCGGACUCGAUGGUUUUGCAGUUCAAGUUAGGCAACUUCUCCUGGGCGAUCGUGCGUACUUGGUCGCUGUGGCUCCUUUGAGCCUUUUUCGACGCCUGGGAAUCAGAAUUAAUAAAAUGGAGAUAAGGAACCAUGUAGUUCACUGAGCAGCUAUAAAGCCUAAGAUAAACUAAACAGAAAGUUGAGGAAUCAACCAAAUGUGUAGAAAUUUUAGUGACUAACUUAUGACUUGUUUAUUUCAGAGAAACUAAUGACUUAUCAAUCCAACAGACAGUAUGAAGUUGUGCCAAGUAAAGCCAAAAAAGAAACUGUAUGUAUAUAACGGAGUAGCGGAUGCGGUUCAAGCUGUUUUUUUGCCUGCUUAUUUUUUAUGUAGCUUUUUUGGCCUGCUUGUCAGUGAUGCAAUGCCUUAUGGAGUAACGAAAGCCUAGAAUGAGAGUUAGGGAAAAUGAAAUGGACACCAAAUUUGGUGAGGCUUAUAUACUCUGAACUUGGAGCCAAGUAGAAACCCCAGUGUUAGCUGAACAGAAAAUUUAAUGUGUUAAGUUAUGCAUAUUGCAUUGUACCCAAAUAAUUCAAAUAAGUGUUAACUCAAAGGAUUGUUUUUGUAGAGGUCCAUAUGCAAUUCAUCAGAUACAGAUAAAGGGUUAGUAUCUCCCAUGUGUGCAAAAUUGGUGUGCAGAUAGCAAUUCACAGACCACUUUCCCUGUCAGUAUGCUAACAUUUUCGUAUAUGCAUUUAUAAUUAAAAUUAUUAAUAAUAGCAUAAUGAAUCAUUAAUCAGUCCCUCUACUGUCUGCACAUGCUUAAAACUCAACCAUGGUAUCAUUAUGGAAUUUGAACAACCUAGGCCCCCACAGACACUAGCAAAUCAAUCUAGCUACUGCAUUUCCCUUUUGCCCAAUUAUCCCCAUAUAUCUUCAAUUUGGUGCAGGAACCUCAAAUUAUGUAAAAGUUGGUGCUAAUCAACCGGGUGCAUACCUGCAGCCUUGAGGAGCAGUACUGAGGCAGGAGGUGUCUUCAAGAUAAAGGUGAAGCUCUUAUCCUGCAAAGAUGCAAUGCCACACGCAUCCUUAUCCUGCAAAGAUGCAAUGCCACAUGCAUCAUGAGGACUAGCUCACAUUACCAAUACAAACAUUCUGCACACACAUUUAACAUGAUGAGGCAGGAGGUGAUUCUAAUUAUCGAGUAAAGUCAUGUAUAUAGACUGAUUAGUGUGAUGUGUUUAUGAUUUUUUCUGAGGGCACCUAAGCUGAAAAGCGGUGGGUGUGGUAGCUAAAACAAAAUUUGUGCAAUUUCGCUUCAACUUCAAACUGUUGUUGGGGAGACUGCCAUGUCAGGAACUCAUGUACUUACAAUACGUUAAGUUAAAUUAGAAAAUGCCGUCUCGUUUAAAAAAUAACAUCUCAUUUUCCCCCUUGAUUCAGUUAUGAACUCUACUGUACGUUCAGACUGAAGUAGUUAUGUGAGAGUAGAAGAGGUUUAUAGCCUCUGUUGCUGGUGGACUGACUAUUUUAUAUGGACUGAAGCUGCAACUGAGGGUAGUGCUACUCUAUGUUGGGCAGCAGUAACUUAGGUCCUGCUCUUUUGUGAAAUUGACACACGAACUAAACAUACACAUUAGAUUUUUCUCACAGUUUGUGCUCACACCAAAUCAAGCUUUUCAAACCAUUAUUACAGUGUUGUUUCUUCCUCUCUUUUAAUUUUUAGCUUGCUGUUUUUCUUGGUGACCUUCCUUGAUUUGUGCUAAUUUCUGCAAGAAAUUUUUGGAAAACAUCAAUUCUUCCGCUUUACUGAAACUUGGAUCUUUGUUAGGCAUGAGUUGAGCUGCCUUAUUUAAUAUGUUAUUCAUAGGCAUCAAUAAACUAGACGAUUUGCCAGUAGAAACAAUUAUAACUGGGACAUGCUUUCUCUUGACACUGAGCAAUGGAUAAAUAUUCUGGCUUACUUCCUUUUUGUAUUUGAACAUGAUGUAAGUGUGGAAAUAAGAAACAGAUUAUUUAGAGCUUUCUGCCCUUUUAUUUUCUUUGUGGCUAAUCUCCAACUACCCUAUGGACUGUAGUAAUCACUUUCUCUUUUUACCAUCAGCAGGAUUUAAUUGAUGGAGUCCUGCUGCUAAAGGACUGCUAAAGGACGUGAACAGGAAGUCCUAUCGCUGGAUGUUUAUUGUCCGAAUUGCAAGGAUCUGGGAAUACAUGAGUACAAACCCUAUCGAAUUCUAUAGCUCUAUUCAUUGGCACACCAGUUGAUCAAUUUUGAGGUAAUAAAGCGAAGUUGUUAUCUGGAAAAUACUUACCUACUUAAAGAAGGUCAAAAUAGAGAAAUCCUUGGCAUAAUUUUUAUGUAUACAAUAUACUAGCUUUCAUAUCUACUUUGGACACCAGAUGGCACAUCAACAUUAUGUACCUGAAGCGAUCGCUACAGAAGGAAGGUACCAAACAAGAUUAACUGUUUCUAUGCUUCUCAAAAUACUUUAGUAUAUGCCCAUAAUAUCACAGUAUGAAUUGCUGUGUGGGAAGUUUGCUUUUCCUACCAUCACGGAAUAAUAAUUCAUUUUUUAGUUUGAUAUAUUCCGCGCCCAAUUAACUAUUUGUAUUUGCCAGAGAAUGCAGAAAAAAAAUACUAACCUGCUUGUGUUCCCGAGAGAGUGUAUUUUCUCCAUACCUCAACAUUCUUGAUACAUAUGGUCAUCUCUGUUCUGGACAACACACUUGACGACCUCUCUUCAUGGCACAAAACUGAAACUGUGCCAUUAAUAUAUUUUCCUUGCAUGCUUGUCUAAAUAAAGGGUGCAAUACACAUGGCAUAGUCGCAUAGAUAUACAAAUCCCUUAUUCCUGUGAGCAAGACUGAAGCUUGCUACUUGUUAAGACCAGUCAUAAACAUUUCUGUGAUUGUAGCUGAUUCCCGUCAGUGAAACUUUGCCAUGACCAUUGUUUAUUCAAUGAAAUAGCUGAUUCCAAUCAUCCAUCAACUAGAUUUGUGAUAAUCACACCAACAAGCUUAUAUCUUACAAAUCGCCUGAUUGGUGAUUAUCCAUUUUAUAUGAUGUUUUUCAUUUGCAAGCGCUGAGUUUUUUCCCUUCAAGUUUCUCUCUCUUACUCUAUUUCUUAAAUAUAUUUCUCCUCUCACUCCAUCAUUCAGUCUGUCGGUUACUCAUGAUGAGUGAUUAUAUGCAAUCAUCCGACAAUAAUUAGUAUAUAUAAUUAGUUAUGCCAGGUUGCUACAUUUCAAUCUCCUUUUUGCCAAUAUGAAAUAUGAUGGCAUAUUAAUAUUGAGAGACAGUCUCGUCGUCCGCUGCAGCAUCACCCUUAUUUUUCGCCGCCCUAACUUUUUUGCACCCCAGGCCUAGCACGCGAUAACGGCGCCAUGAGGAUUCUCUGCCGUGAGGAGUACCCCGACCCGUAUGAUGGCCACCGGAAGGUCACACACUUCUUUGGCUCGCUCCGACUGGCUCCAUUGACGACUUCUCUAACGUAUCUUCUUGUGCAGCUUCACACCUGCUUGUGUGUCUUGCAAAAAAGCAAGCUACUUGGUACCUCUCUACUCUGCUUUAGCAGGCGUUUGCAGAGGAAGCCAAGGGGUACAUGAUACUGGUAAUUUACUAAUGACCCAUAUUGUUGGAAUAAUUUGUCGCAAAUAUUUUUGUUGGUUGUCCUUUUAUUUUAUUUAUAAUCUUGCCUCAAUCAUGUCUUCCAUUGUGCUUCUUCACUCAAAAGGCGUUCUGCAUGUGUGCACUUGCUUGAGAAUGGAAUAAUCUCAUGAAUUCUAUUGAAAACAGAACUUACUUAUUGCAGUAUGCUUAAUGUUUUGUUUUAGUAAUUAUGUCUGCUUUAGCAGCCAGGAGCAUCCCCUCCCAUUUCUGACUUUGAACCAUGUGCCCUGUUUAAACCAGCGUAGUUCGAUGACCUUAUGCAAUUAUUUGGUACAAAGAAUGUGCUGAUAAAGUAUUUUUAUUUUUACUUUACUAUGUUUAGUUCCGAGGUAUUUAUACUCCUGUCAAUCUGCUCUAAUUCGGUUCGCCGAUAUCCUGAAGGAAUUAGACCAUUCUAUAUCUUUUUUUCUGAUUUUAGUUGGAUACCUGCUUAGAUGGGUGAACUUUUAACCCAUCUUUUAUUGCUUGCAGGUGUAUUUGUUGGGUUCCUCUUGGCGUGUCGAACAAAAAUUGGCGUUCAGCACUGCUAUUUAAAGAUGGUUUGAUCAGUACUACAGAAAACCCAUAGAUUAUUGUAGGUGAGAGCAUGGUACCCUGUCUCUUCCUAUUUUGUUCCUUUCUUAUAGUAUUACUUUGAGGCAUUAUUUAUAGCAAAAGAAUCAGAUUGAACAUUUAAUAUCUUUUUUCCUUAUCAUGCUAGGCAGAGGCCCUUAGGUUUGCAUUCAGGUGCUAAUUGUUUAAUAAACAUCAUGCAUUAGUUAGAUAUAAUCCUUUAUGUUUUCCACAAACAUGAUGAUUAUCCCAGAGAUGUAUCAUUGUAAAGUACUCCCUCCGUUCUAAAAUAAAUGACCCAACUUUAUACUAAAGUUAGUACAAAGUUGAGUCAUCUAUUUUGGAAUGGAGGGAGUAAGGUUAAGGAGAUCUAAUCCUGGACAUAUCAAUGCAAGAGCACAACUUUGUAUUAGAAUGCUUACUGUGUUUUACAUGGUGGUGUUUCUAAGAAAGUAUAUUUGGUUGUGAUCUUCAAAUGGUUUGAAAUUUAGUUAAGGGAUGUCAAAGCCUGAAUGUGGCCACAUUUUGGUGGGGAAGGAGGGAUAUAGUCUUUAUAAUUUAAUCUUAGCUUUACACUUCUGUGAUUCGUUGAAGAAAUGUAUCUCUAUGUAGUUUUGGCUGUAUUGAGACUGGGAUUUAAGCUUCUUUCCUUUCCGAGACGCAUACAUAAAUCCUGUGUGCUAUAUGGGUUGGAAAAAUAGUGUUGAAAUUUAAACUCGAAUCGUAUGGGCACUCCUAGAGAAGCGGCUGUGUCCUAUCUUUGUUUGGGACUAAUUGUCAAAUGAAUAAUAUUAUUUCGUGCGUGUAAUUCCUCUUUUUUGAUUGCUCAUAACCUGUUCUUUUUUGGUUGUUUGUUUAGGUAUCUAAGAAUGAUGAUGAUUACACUCGGAGCAAGCCUUGUUGCGGCGCUGCAAGUGUUGCCCUCCUCCUCCCCAAGGGCAAGGUGAAGGAAGGUGCCUGUGUGGUUCUUCUGCAGCUCGUAGCGAGGAUUGCUGUGUCCAACCUGCACAAGAAUGCCAAGAAGUCCUUCUCGGAGACGUAAGCCAUGGCGCAUGUUUCUGCCAUGAUUUCCUUUGGUUGGAUUUCGUGGAUUUAGGUGUUGAAAAAUUAUGGGCUGUGGAUGCAGGAUUAAGGACAUGUACCUGCACUACAACGAGAGAUCUGGGCUGCUUCUUUGUGGCUUCCAAACUUGAAAUGUCUGUUUGGAAGUUAGUUUAGUUUUUUGUUGUGGAUUCACAGCUUCUCACAUGUACCAUCCUCUUAGACCUUUAGAUUUCCAAAGAAACUAAAUGAAGAUAUGGUGGUAUGGUCUCAAUGAAGCGUUCCAUGCUUUAUAUUUUCUCUAAAAUUUUCUCCUGAAGAAUCAUGUAUCUCUGUUAGAUCCGGUGAGAAAAGAGGCGGCUUCCAAGCAGAGGAUGCAGGAGUGUUGGCCACAUUUGGUCUUUGACUUGGGUGUGUAAAUAUUCUUACAAUACUUGGCUCCCUCUCGGCCUUUGCGCCAUUGGCGCAACGAGUCAUCUAGUUUUUAUAGAGGCGACUGGACUGGUAGCUCGCAAUGGAGAAAGCAUGGCAAUUCACAUCACAUUCAGACCCGCACCGCAUGGCUGAGCAGAGCAGCCAGCGGAGAUUGAUCGAUCGAUGGAUCACCGGGAGAGUUGGGAGCAGCUAGUAGACUAUGAGGGCAUCUCCACCCGCGCCCCAACAGGCCCCUCGGAUCACUUUUUCGGCGCCGGCGCCGAAAAAACGGCCAGUCGCGUCCUCAGGACGCCGAAAAUCGCCGGUUCGGACCUUUUUUCCGCCCGGCGGUCACAGGCCGAACCCGGCGCGCUGGGGAGCAGUUGGGGGCUCCGGCGCUAGGGAAAAGCACGCCUGGCCCACACCGACAGGGAAAAGUCAAGGUUUUCUUCCCCCGACUCGCCUCGCACCCCCCGCGCCCUCGGCCACCACUAGCUAUAUCCCGGCGACGGCCGCCGCCCUGCUCCGCUAGAUAGCCAUUCCCUGCCGGAAAAUAGCAGCGCUUCGCCGCUGCAGCCCCUCCCACAGCAGUUGGGCGUUUCCGGCCGCCGUUUCCGGCUGCGGAGGCGCGGUUUAACGGCCGGUACACGCCCACCGAGCGCAAGGUGUUCGGCGUUUUGCCUGUCUCGGCGAUGGACUCGGAUGAGUAGGAAGAGCUCGCCGCGCUGCUGGAGGAGGAAGCCGCGGCCGACGUCCAGGAAGAAGAGCAUCUCAUGGUGCUCGCCGCCCUCGCCCAGCUGCUGGCGAGCAAUGAAAAGCCGCGGUGAGGUGGCUCGGCGCCGGGGCGGGUGAAAGCAAAGAACCAGCAUCGUCUCCAAGGCUACUGCAUGCUCUACUCCGACUACUUCGCCGAUGCUCCACUUCAUGGCGAGAGAACAUUUCGGCGUCGUUAUCGGAUGAGCCAAAAGGUCUUUCGCAGGAUUGUGAAUUCCAUCCGGGAGUUCGACAACUACUUCAAGUGCAAGAUGGAUUGCACUGGCGCUCUUGGGUUCACCUCCAUCUAGAAGUGCAUGACAGCGAUGAGGAUGCUUGCAUAUGGAGCUCCCAGUGAUUCACUCGACGACUAUGGACGCAUGGCCGAGUCCACCAGCAUAGAGUGUUUCUACAAGUUCUGUCGGGCAGUGGUGGCAGUGUUUGGGCCACAAUACUUGAGAACACCCAAUGCGGAAGACACUGCUCGGAUCCUAGCCCAGAAUUCAGUAAGAGGAUCUCCUGGGAUGCUUGGAAGCAUCGACUGCAUGCAUUGGAAAUGGAAGAAUUGCCCAUUUGGUUGGCAGGGGAUGUACAAAGGCGCCAAAAGCGGUUGCAGUGUGGUGCUUGAGGCGGUAGCCACACAGGACCUUUGGAUUUGGCACUCCUUCUUUGUUAUGCCAGGAACUCACAAUGACAUCAACGUGCUGCAGUGCUCUCCUGUUUUUGCCAAGCUCGUUGAGGGACAUUCUCCUCCGGUGAACUUCGAGAUCAAUGGGCACCAAUACAACAAGGGGUACUAUCUAGCUGACAACAUCUAUCCGAGAUGGUCAACAUUUGUGAAGACGAUCUCAAACCCUGUGGCAGGAGGUAAGAACGCCUGGUUUGCGAAGCUUCAGGAGGCUUGCAGGAAGGAUGUCGAGCGGGCAUUUGGUGUGCUCCAAUCUCGAUUUGCUGUUGUUCGGUACCCCGCUCAGACCUGGUCCAAAGAUCAAAUGUGGAAGAUUAUGACUUGCUGUGUCAUCUUGCACAACAUGAUCAUCGAGAGCGAGCAAGAAGACCCAGUGUUUGACACUGAACCAUACUACAGGCAGGGUCCUCUAGCCGAAGUUGAUCACCAGCUACCGGCAACUUGGACUGCCUAUCUCAGUAUGCGUCAGGAGAUCCGAGACCCACAGGUGCAUCAUCAACUGCAGAAAGAUUUGAUUGAGCACCUAUGUAGGCUCAAGGGGGACGCUGUGUGAUGAAAUGCGAGUUUUUAUUUGUUGAACUAUAUAAUUUGUAUUGAAUUAUUUGUUCUUGUACUAUUUUGUUGAAGUAUUUGAUUUUUCUGUGAUGAAAUAUGUGAUAAGAAAUAAUUGUGUUGAUAAUUGAACGCCGAGACACGGCGAAACCACGCCGAAUAUGGGUCUAUUCUCGCCCAUAUGGGCCGUUUAUUCGUCAAAAUUGGGCUGCAAAGUGAGCCAAUUUCGAUGCCUGGGAUGAGCUGGGGGCGACGACUGGGCGCACAACCACCCUCAGCGCCGAAUGUAUCGCCGACUCGCCCCCGGGGAAUAUUUUUAUGUAUCGGGGGGGCCAACGGCUGGAGAUGCCCUGAUCGGCAGUGUCUUCAUGGUCUCGUUCACAUUCGUCGUCAGCAUGCAGAUCAAUAAUGUGGCAGUGAAUUACAUAUAUACUAGUACAUGUAUGACUUUCUGAAUCCGAAUUAAACAUCGCGGCGGCGGCAAAGCCAAGUGCCAAGUAGCCCCCCGUCCCCGGCAUGCAGGCAACGCGGUGACCGUAGCCGUGCCACCCUACAUGCUAACAUGCACCAACAACCCCCCGAUAGGGAGGUAUAGGUGUCCUACGCCUACGGGAUAGAUAACCACGGAUCCUCUCAUGGCCGGGAGGGCACGUCAGCUAGUGAGUCACCGCACGAGAUAGGGACGAGGGGCACUGGGGCAGGCGCAUAUGCGCACCGAUAAUGGGAGCCAUCGCCCUGACCGGAGGUUGUUGGCUAAUCAUCAGUACGCGCGCUCGAUCAGUGAGUGAUUCUAAAGGGAUAUGCACGGAAGCACACACACGUACCUACAGCUAGUCUUUACUUUGCUUCCCGUACGUACUAACCAAGCUUAAACUAAGCUCAGCUAGCUAGCGAGCGAGCUGCGUCCACGGAUCAGACCAAGGAAAGGAGAGCCCUCGACGUGGACGCAGCCUACACGUGCAUAGCACUCAUGCAUUUCCCUGCAUGUUUGCGGUUCAGGUGCAAGGUGGUAGGUUUGGUCUCCGAACCACUCCAGAAAAAUCUGGGAUCGCAUGACAAACUGCUGGUACGGUAUGCGUACGUAGGUUGAGGUGCAGAGAUGAAAUGUGCAUGUUCUACCUUUGAACUGCGGACUCAUUAGAUUGGUUUUUUGCUUACAUUGACUAGAGCAUGCACUUCUACACAAACUAACCGGCUGUUUCUCUCUCUCGGACAGAAACGGUAGUAGCGGCGCCGCGCCGACAGCACAGCCAAAGGUGGUAACGGUUUUGCUGAUGGUGGUUGACCAUGCGAUGCGAUGCGCCGUGGCGAUCAGUGUGUGCACCACGUUUCGAGCACGCACGUAGGUACAGUAUAUACCUACAGGCUCGGUCGCUGGAGGGAAAAGUCCGGGCGACAAUAAUGUGACAGGGUGAGGUCAGGGGAUCCAGCUGGAGAGGUCGCACAUGCACGCAUGCAUGCAUUUUUGGAGUGGGAGAAUGGCGACCAAGGGGUAGGAGACGAGGAUUGUUUAAGCAGGAGCACCACCUGCCGAUUCGUUUGUGUCAUGGAGCUUAGCUAGACAGGGAAGGCAGACAGAAAGGCUACGUACGUGUUGUUGGUGAGCUCUCGGUCUCAACGUAGAUGGCACAAGUAGCACCGCGCGCUUGCGAUCCAAGGUUAGCGGUUGACGGCCAGUCGGCCACUAAUCUGAGUAUAGUGGAAACAAACAAUAGUACCUCCACUGUCGACUCUAAAAGCUACCCCUCCGUCUCGUAAUGUAGGGGCUGUUUGGUUCUAGGACUAGCAUUGCCAUAUUUUGUCACACAUUUUUGUCAAGCUUGGCUAAGGCUAAGGGAAUCUUGCCACAUUUUUUUGUGUGUAUUUCAUGUGAGGCACAAGUGUGGUUUGCUUAAGGUGUGUCUUGAAUCAAACACUCAUCUAAGUUAAUCAAUUUAUCUAAUCUUAAAUGUGGUAAUUUUUGGCAAAAUUAGUCACAAACCAAACAGCCCUGUAAUGUAAAACGUUUUUUGUCAAAAAAAAAAACGUUUUACAUUAUGAGACGGAAGAAGUACGGUAUAUACCUGUGCUCCAACCCACCAGCAACACAUGUCUCAAGAAACUGGACAAAGUAUACUUUGAUCGCAGUUCACGAGUACCGGGGGAGACAACAAGGUUGCGGGCUUGCGGCAUCCAUGGCUUCAUCAAUCAUCACGUCGGUCGGUCCAUGGCAACCACCUCCGGAUAUGGCACACCAUGUGUUGAUAUGUAUUUCAAUUUGUCAAUGUAUGUAUACAAGUACUUGUUUGCUUGACGUGGAGGUGUACCAGUCAAAUCAAGGCCUCGUCCAGUUUACUAACAAAAUAUACCACUACUGGGCGGCUCUGGUCAGACUCCGUGUUAGUUUUGUGGAACCUAUGUACUCGCCUGUCUAGCCGUCAGUAGAAUCACAAUGGCGCUGUCGGCUGCUCCGCUCCGCUUGCCGUCGCGGUGUCGCCCAAUCUGAUUUUCUCAGCGCGCGUGGUAGGAGUUUCAACGUGUACAGUAUGCCUGCCUGCCCACAGUUCAGUGUUUGUGAAAGCUCUUUUUUUGUGGGGGGUGUUUCAUGACGACGAACAUAAAUGGAGCUCACGGCCUGUUUGGAGAGUAGGUGCCUCGGUUGCAGUGGUUAGUGCGACAUGGCGAACAAGUACGUACGUCCAUUUGAAAACGCAAACUUCUCUCAGGCAUUUAUGCAUCCUGCUGGAUAUAUUAGCACAUUUUAUAUAUUAAUCUAAUCCACGAGUAGAUAAUAAACAUGGCAAUCACAGUAUGCAACUCAUACUGACACUUAAGCAUUUGCAUACAGUACAUAUAGCCGAAACAUCUAUGAACACAACAUAUACAACUUGGACAUGAACGGGCAAGUAGGAGAUGAACAAAAUAUACCCUCCGGUUGGUCAGACCAGCGCAGCGGCGACAACAGCAGCCUCGGCGUCGUCCGCGGCCUUCUUCUUGGCGGCUUUGUAGGCGGACAUGGAGUAGAUGCAGGGAAAGUAGUCGAAACAGAGGACGGAGACGAGGACGGAUCGGGAGCACGCGCACCGAGACGCUGGACAACGGGGUUCCAGAGGCACCUACUCUCCCAACAGGCCAUGCACGCAGUCGUCGGGAUGGGAUCGUCGGAUGCAGCACAAGGAGAGAAACAAUAGAUGACGGCAAUAGUUGCACGAGGAGGGAGUGAGAGUGUUGGCUGCACUGGCCAACGCCUCCUUAUAUAGGCCGCCGGGUAGAUGGGCCUGGGCUUAGGCCCACGACCUAGUCCAUGAACAACCCACGGUCCAACGUCUUGGAAAGUAACACUUCUGUUAGCGACUCGUUAAUUAAUCCAAGAUUAAAAAAUAAAGUGUAUAGGUGUGAGCUCAGCUCGGUUCAUUCCUGCAACCCGUGGCGCGCAACGAGGCGGGCAGCGGAGGAGGAGCGCGUGUGUACAACUCCUCUCCCAAGCUUUCAAUGCAUGUGAUAGAGCAGCCCGUAUAAAGAGGUUCAACUCUUCUUUCAUCAGCAGUAUGGUACUAAAUUUCCCACCACUUGUCAUGCAUCUACAUGAGCCUUAGAGAUUAACGAGGAAUUAUUGUUUUAUGUGGGCCAAAGCCCAUCUAUAACUCAACAGUCCCUCACUAGAUCUCAAGGCACAUUAGUUUGUCAUCUAUUCCAAAUAGUGUUUUGAUAUAUCAGAAUUUUCGGUGGAGAUUGUUAAGUUCAACUUUCACCUACAAUAAUAGGAUUAGACUUCUUCACAACUGAAUAAUUGACUAUGCAUUAAAUUAUCAGUUUAGCGUGCAGAAGUUUCGCCUAUAGUCGGUUAGUACAUGGCUGUCAAAAGAUAAACCCCACGGGUGGAGCUUAUUAGUCAUACUCUUGAGUUGUUGAUGAGCUUCCUGAAUAUUACCCUACCUUAUAGACUAUGACCAGCAAUCGGGCUCACAUAGAUGUGUUUCUUCAAAGAAUGCUCCGUACGAUAGCAUCUUGUUUACACAAGCUUUGAAAUACAUUUAGACAAAAGUCACCCCGACUUACAGAUUAUGAGAGUAUUGCAUCUCAAAUAGAGUGGGUUAGUAAGGAUCAGUUGAACGCUGGAUUGUUUUCCCAUGUCUUAAUUAAUGGGAUCACCGAUAAUGGGAUCCAUUGCUCGGAGGUAGUUGGCGGACAACGCUACACCUACGAACAAUUUUCAUUGAAGUCAAGUUACAGGAUGAGAUGUCAAGAUGUGACAGGAAAUCAAAGGAAGAGGGUGUCACUACAGAAAAUCAAGCGGGACAUGAUUUACAGGUUAAUGAGUCUGUAGGCAAAAUCCGUAGGAGCCAUCUGUAAGUCUAGCAUUUUUGGGUUGUUGGCUAAUUAUCAGCACGCGCGCGAGUGAUUCUAAGGGCAUCUCCAACGCGGAUUCUCAAAACCCCCGGGCACGUUCUGACCUUGAGGUCCAGACAUAUUGUGUCAUCCAACACAGUCUUGUAUCAGUCUGUUCGGCGGCUCAAAUACACAUUUUAUCGCAAACAAAAACCGAAGACAAAAGUGUGUGUGNNNNNNNNNNNNNNNNNNNNNNNNNNNNNNNNNNNNNNNNNNNNNNNNNNNNNNNNNNNNNNNNNNNNNNNNNNNNNNNNNNNNNNNNNNNNNNNNNNNNNNNNNNNNNNNNNNNNNNNNNNNNNNNNNNNNNNNNNNNNNNNNNNNNNNNNNNNNNNNNNNNNNNNNNNNNNNNNNNNNNNNNNNNNNNNNNNNNNNNNNNNNNNNNNNNNNNNNNNNNNNNNNNNNNNNNNNNNNNNNNNNNNNNNNNNNNNNNNNNNNNNNNNNNNNNNNNNNNNNNNNNNCCCAACCAAAACCCUCCUCCUCGCCCGCGUGCAUUCCCACCCGACACCAGCUGCCCGCAUUCAUGCCGCUAUAGAGCGGCUACUAUGCAAUGACGCCGGCCUAGAGCGAAUGCGACCUCUCACUGGCGUCGACAUUGAUGCAUCAUGCCGACUGAGAGAGCCGUCUGCGUCGCGUCCCCGUUGUCUGCAUCUGUUCAAUGUCACGGCAACGUUUGUUGUAUGGGAUAUCUACCAUGCCCGUUCAAUGCCAGUUUGUCCGAAUACCAUCAUUAAGUAGGCUCGCCAAUCGAGGAAUCAACUCCGGCGCCGCGCAUUGACGCAUCUGGACGCUUGACCUCAUCGGAAUCCGCUAUUUGAAGGCGACCACACCUCGCUAACUCCACAACAUCAGACAUCCUCCUCCUUUGCUCCACAUCCGCCAUAACCGUGAGAAGGAACACUCUGUGUGAUAGUCUGUCGUCGGAGAUGAAGCAUGAGGUGGUUGCCCUUGUAGUUGCCUGCCAGUCCCGCUGUGCCAGGCGGAUCGAGCAGGGCAUGCUGGCCAGCUUGCCCGAGGUCUCCGAUGAUGACCCUACGGGAUCCGACGACGACACGGUGCCAGACCCCACGACGAUGCAUGUCGCCCUGACCAUCACUACUAGGGAAAACGUUAUACACAGAAUCUUAGCAGCAACGAGGUUUAAAAACAAACUCUACUGCUAAUUAGCAGUAGCGAGCUUCAGAAGACCGCGCUACUAAUAGCCCAGUAGCAGUAGCGCUCUAGGUGAAACGAGCGCUAUUACUACAAUUGCCACGGUGUUGCCUUCAUGUUAGAUAUAGUAGUAGCGCCCUUCCCCUUGAUGCGCUACUGCUAAAGUACUUAGUAGCAGUGUUUUUCUUUAAAACUCGCUGCUGCUAAGUAUCAUCCCAUCUUGCAACUAAUUAAGUUUAGUCCCAUACUGCUAAGCGCACAAGGUGUUUACCACCUUAAAUAUGUUACUUCUCAAACUAUCUCGAGCACUUGGUCUUCAUUGAACUGUAUGUGUAGGAUUUGUGGCUGUAAUAUGAAUCUUCACCUGUGCCUAUACAGGUACGGUGAGGAUUCAUGUUGACUAUUUAGAUUCUACACAAAAAGAUCAAUGCUGACCAAUGUAUAUUUUCGAUGUUUUUACAUGCUUAGCCUUAGCAGUAGCGCGCUCCCUGUACCCACGCUACUGCUACAACAAAACAANNNNNNNNNNNNNNNNNNNNNNNNNNNNNNNNNNNNNNNNNNNNNNNNNNNNNNNNNNNNNNNNNNNNNNNNNNNNNNNNNNNNNNNNNNNNNNNNNNNNNNNNNNNNNNNNNNNNNNNNNNNNNNNNNNNNNNNNNNNNNNNNNNNNNNNNNNNNNNNNNNNNNNNNNNNNNNNNNNNNNNNNNNNNNNNNNNNNNNNNNNNNNNNNNNNNNNNNNNNNNNNNNNNNNNNNNNNNNNNNNNNNNNNNNNNNNNNNNNNNNNNNNNNNNNNNNNNNNNNNNNNNNNNNNNNNNNNNNNNNNNNNNNNNNNNNNNNNNNNNNNNNNNNNNNNNNNNNNNNNNNNNNNNNNNNNNNNNNNNNNNNNNNNNNNNNNNNNNNNNNNNNNNNNNNNNNNNNNNNNNNNNNNNNNNNNNNNNNNNNNNNNNNNNNNNNNNNNNNNNNNNNNNNNNNNNNNNNNNNNNNNNNNNNNNNNNNNNNNNNNNUGCUCCUCCCCCCUCUCGCCGCCCCUAUGCUAGCUGCUCCUCCACCCUCUCGCCGCCCACUCUGUCGCCGCCCGCGAGCUCUGGCCAGGCGACUUUGACCGACUGCCCUCGAUCCCCUCGCCGACCGCUGUCGUUGCCCCUCUCAUAGGAAAGUCGCCAACCUUCCCUCAUUAGCACCCCCGACCGAGGUCACCAUGCCAUCCCCCCUUCUCGUCAGCAGCCCCCGAGGGUUGCCCUAUACCUAGAUGUAGCAAGGGCUUACGAAUUUCAUAUGGAUAAGUAGAUGCUUUCGUUUUUCUAUAAUAAGUUAUUUUUUGCAAAAUGUAGGUGCCAAUUUAGUUGAAAUGCUUUGGUAGGUGGUACAAGUAUUUAGUUUGCAAGUGCUAAGUUAAUCCCAAUUAAAUUUGCAACUUGUUUUUUUAAUCAGAUAUCUUAGGCAAUAGGGGCCAAAUUAGAUGAAAUGUGUCUUGGUAGGUGGUACCUUGAUUUGGUAGAUAACUUAUUACAGAUCUUAGGAUUAUACCUUUGGUAGGGGCCAAAUAGUUUUUUUGGCAAUAGGUGCCCCUGAAAUUGCUUCUCGCGGAAGAAUCUCUUCAUCUAGAGAUAUUCUAGAAGGUGUUAGUAAGCUAAUUGAGAACUUGUUGUCUGUGAGUCUUGUUGGCUAAUUUGGCAUUGGCCUGCUAGCUGUUGGUUCUAUUAUAGAAGGUGUUAGUAAAUUAAUUGAGAGCUUGUUGUUUACUUUUUGGGAUCGGGUUCCACUAUGAAAAUAUAACUAAAGAAGAACCAAAAAUAUCACAUGCUACUGUUUUUCUUUCCUGUGAAAUGGAUCGUUAAUCCUUUGCUCAUAUUGCUUUAGGAAAAUGGCGCCACCACCACCACCAUGUCGACUGUGCCACUACUAGGAAAAGGCCUACUAGUGGCACACAUGUUUUCGCUACUAAUGGCGCACUACAGGUGCGUCACUAGUACCACGCCAUUAGUAUUUGAUAUACUAAUGGCGCACCACGCAGUGCGCCAUUAGUAUAGCCCAUGGUGCGCCAUUAGUAUGCCUCCCAGGGGGCCAUAUUUACCCAUGUGCUUUGGCAUACUAAUGGCGCACUGGUGGAUGAUGCGCCAUUAGUGUGCUCUGGCUUACUAAUGGCGCACUAUGUGGUGGUGCGCCACUAGUAUGAAUAUUAGGCAUUAUUUUUUUCUUUUCUGAUAUUUUCACAGGUUACAAAAUAUAUUAUUGGACAGAAUUUAGACAACACUACACAGCAACAGCAGAUUCAUCGAAUACAAUAGAAGAUUAGUCUCCAAAUACAAUUCAUCAUAUUAGUCUCCGAAUUCAAAAGACCGAACAAAGAUAGAACAUUACAAGUCUCGAGACCGCAAGUAGCGAGUUUGUCGGAAGUAAUACUAAUCCUAACAAGUCCUACUAAUCAUCAUCAUACAACUUCUACUCGUUAUUAAUAAUAAGUCAUACGAUCAUCAUCUUGAUAGUCAUCGAACCAACCCUACUUAAUUCUUCUUAGCACAUGAUCAUCAGUAUUAGGCAGGACCUAAAUACCCUAUUUAAGGUAAAAUAGUAUAAAACAAUAUAGACCCUGACUCUCCAUUAUGUAGAAUGGAGAUCAUCCUGUCUCCAAUUCUUGCGCUUCGCUUCCUUUUGCUUCCAAGAACCUCCUUACAACCGUCCAUACAUUUUUUCCAUCCUUUGAUUUUCAUGUCUCCACUUCUUUUAGAAAUCUCGUAUGGACAGUUGAGAUUCGUAGGAUGACCUGGCUAUAUGUUCAAAACAUUAAGACUACCUUUCUGAUACAUCAAAUGAGGCACACAAUUCUCUGGGAUUAUCUAUUGAAAAACAUAGUAAUAACUUCAUAGUUAGCAAUGAUGUACUAGUUUUAGAAGUAUGCAAAAGAUGCACGGAUGUCGUAGUAGUAAAAAAUCUUACCAGGGUAUCUCCAUGGUAGUUAUCGUAGUUGAACACAUGCACUAGUGGCAUGUAUUGACCAUAAUGUUGAGGAGUUUGAUUGUAGAUAUUGUAAUUCUCAAUGUCAGUACAAAAUCCGACCAGAUGAUUUUUCUCCUUGUAAUUAAGCUGUUAAUUCGAAGCCAUCGGUGUAGUGGGUUUUGUCUACCAUCUCCCGCACAUUCUUUGAACAAUAAAAAUAAGCUGUCAAUGGAAAUAAGCUGUCAACUAUUUUGAAAUAAAUAAUAUAAAUUAGCUAAUAACUAUGUUUGAGAAACUAACAUAGCGCUAGAAUUGGAGGCGUAUCAACAAGGACCCAAAUGUCCAUAUUGUCUUGCUCGAUUUUAGGAUCACCAAGAUCCAUGGUGACAAGCAUACCCUCAUCAAAACCAUACAUCUUGCAAAAUGCUUCCCAAUUUUUGCAACCAAAAUGGGUUACGCUCCCAGAAUUAUACAGAUUUACUUCAAAAUCCACAUCGUGAUGAGUCCUUAGGUGAAUUUUCUUUGUUUUAGAAAUUUCAUGGUCUUCAAAAUCCAUCCUCUCCAAGACAUAGCGUCUUGCAUGGCAUGGGAUAAGCUAUACUCGAAUUGUAAAAGAUGAAAAUUACACGUUGAAAUAGUUGAAGUCAUGCUUAAUUAUGAAAAUAACACUUGUCGUCGUUGCGUACCGUUUCAACUUCGAAGGUCUCCUCGAGCUUAAUGCUGAAGCGCCGAUCAUCGUCCAGGUGAGGCAUGUCGCACAGACCUCGAUCGUCGUGGCACCAUCCGCACUCCCCCGGGAGACUUUCGUCGUCCGAUGACGACAUAUCUUACGUUCAUAAUUCAAAACUACAUAGGAUGAGUGGUUCCUCUUCCAGAUUAGGGUUUAUCGAUUACGAGCAACUGACACUAGUAAUAACUAUGAGUUGAUAUCACACUUCUAUAUGUAUAACACAAGAGGCAGUUGAUCCUACUUAAUUAAGUACUAAGAUACCCCGGCCCAUGCAUUUGUCGCAAGUACCCCAUAUGUCCUAUUUUUAGCGAAGUCAUGCUAAAAUUCACGAAAAAUUUCAGCAUGAUCUUUGCUGAAAAUAGGACAUAUGGAGUACCCGAAUUUGCCGGAACAGAAGUUAAUUGACAUUCCGGCAAACUCAAGGGCCUCUCGGGGUACUUGCAAAAUCAUCACGACACGAUGGUCGGAGACAAAACCCAGCAAACUCCUUCCCUUCACUCGGGGUACAACAAUAUAUCUUCUAGCCAUAAAAAAUAAUACCAACUAGGAUCGGUAUGACCUUCGUUUUUCAUUUUCUGUAUGAUCAAUUAAAUCUUCUGCAAGCUUAUAUGAAAAGGUUCAGCAACUUGAAACUUAACUCUUGCUUGGUGUUCCAAAUCAUUUCAUUUAUAUUUUAAAUAACAGUAGGAGUUUUUUCAUAAUAGAAUUUACCCCAAAAACAAAUUCCUUUAAUGCCAUUUUCAAACUCUGAGUUGCCUCUGUUGCACUAAAACUAAUUCAAAUAAUUUUUAUAAAAUUGCAACAAAAUUUUUGGGAGACCCUAUAAUUCCUAUAAAUCAUUUUUGAACAAAGACCCAUCCUACUCUUUUGAAAUUUUUGAGAAAAACACCCACUUUUCCAUUCUGAUCCAUUUUCAGUUUACAACUACAACCCUAUUUCCCCUAGCUCCUAAAAAUCUACAAAAUUAUCCCAACACAAGAACAGUACCUACACUCCUUUUUCCCAAACAUCUCCUGAUCACAAGUUCUAAAUUUUCAAUAGGCCACAUGUAUUUGCUGAAUCAGCAUAAACCUUUCAAUACCGAAAAUGCAGCAUUUUCUUGGCACAACCAAGCUACUUCACGGUAAUUCAUAUUUUAAGAAUUCUCACAUUUCAUAUAUCGGCUUUUUCAAAACAAAAAAAGUAUCUAUGGGGGCUGCAGCUGCAUGUUGUGUAUCACUAUACCUUAUAUAUCACGAAUCUAAACUAGACAAACACGAAUCUAAACUGAACAUUUAAUAGGUUGCAAGAAUAUAUAAAAUCUGAACAUUACACAAUUCUGAACAGUACACUUCUCAAAUUCAUAGAAAUUUGACAGAGAGAGAGGGAGACAACAAGGAUUCAGAUUCAGAAAAGUGCAGCAGGAGGGAAGUGGAGAGGAGGAGCAGCAGCAGUUUCGAGGUUUCAGAGAAGAGCAGCGGCAAGACGUUGAGAGGAGGAGAAGCAGGAGUAAAGCAAGAGGGAGGAGCAGCAACAAGGCGAGGGCGAGCGCAGCCGUGGGUGGCAACACGCAAGUGCGUGUGUGCGCGGGCGCGGCCGACUGCAGUGACAGCGCAGCAGCGAGGCAAAGCAGGAGCUUGACGACGACGGCUACGGCGGCGAACCCGAUGGGGGAAGGAGGAAAUCGGUCAAGGGCCUCACCGAGGUGCUCGACAAUGAUCUCGGGAGGUCGGGGGUGGCCGGGGCAGAGCGAUGUGACGAGGUGGACGAGGGAGGCCGAGGUUGGGGAAGACGACGAUGGCGAUGAUACAGUGCAGCUCCGGUCGAUUGAGAACCCGUAGAUGAAGAAGCAGUCGACGGCGGUCCUCCUGGACGUCUCCGUGCGGCGCGGGGUGACUGGUGGCGGCGCAGUGGGUCGGGGCGGCGGCGUUGCAGCAGGUCGAGGGCUCGGGGGAUUGGGGAUUGGGAUCAAGGAGGAGGCGGCGCUCGGGGGGAAAGGGAUAGAGAGGGGAAGGUUAGCAAUGGCGCACCCCCGAGCGGUGCGCCAUAAGUAACCUUUUUUAGGUAGCAAUGACGCACCACCCAGAGAUGCACCAUAAGUAACUUUUUUUUGCAUAGCAAUGGCGCACCAGCCAGAGGUGCGCCAUAAGUAACUUAUUUUUUUUGGUUGCAUCUAAUAAUUUUUUAGAAAAUGCAUAUGAAUAUGAAACAGUAAUAAAUUUUUAUAAAAACAAUAAUUUUUUAAAAAAAAUAUCAUCAAAUUUGUUAUUUGAAAAUAUCAUCAAAAUUUUUAUUUGAAAAUAUAAUCAAAAUUGCUUUUUAUUNNNNNNNNNNNNNNNNNNNNNNNNNNNNNNNNNNNNNNNNNNNNNNNNNNNNNNNNNNNNNNNNNNNNNNNNNNNNNNNNNNNNNNNNNNNNNNNNNNNNNNNNNNNNNNNNNNNNNNNNNNNNNNNNNNNNNNNNNNNNNNNNNNNNNNNNNNNNNNNNNNNNNNNNNNNNNNNNNNNNNNNNNNNNNNNNNNNNNNNNNNNNNNNNNNNNNNNNNNNNNNNNNNNNNNNNNNNNNNNNNNNUUGCUUUUUAUUUUUAGUUGCAUUCAUUUGUGACGGUGGAGCGGGGGAGGAUGCGGGGGGUCGUCGACGGUGGUGGAGCGGGGGAGGGUGGUGUCAGCGGCGGCGGCGGCGGUGGAGCAGGGGAGGGUGCGGUGGGUCGUCGGCGGCGGUGGAGCGGGGGAGGGUGUGGUGGGUCGUCGGCUUGAGGUGCGCCAUUAGUAGUUUUGCAAAAAAAAAUAGUAGUGGCGCACUGCGUGGCAGGUGCGCAAUUACUAGUUAAACUAGUAAUGGCGCACUGUUCCCUGGUGCAUCAUUAGUAUUUUUGGAAAAAUAUAUAAAAAACUUUUUGUUACUAGUGGCGCACCGUGGGUCUGGUGCGCCAUUAGUGUCUACCACACUAAUGGCGCAUCAACUCAUGGUGCGCCAUUACUAUAUAGUAGUGGCGCACCACAUAUCUGGUGCGCCAUUAGUGGCCAUAUCAUCUAUAGCCCUUUUCCUAGUAGUGUGCAAGUCAAGGUGCGCCAAUAGCCUUGCAACUGGCAAGCUGUUUGGCAUCUACUUCUAGCCGAGUUUUCGUCAUGCGGCGGUAAGAAAUUAGAUGAAAUGUAACAACUAUUUUAUUUUUAGUGUUGGCAUUACUGCAUUGUGUCAUUUUGCUUUUUUACACAGAUCGUCCCAUGCAAUGUGAGGUUGAAAUUCAACAAGCUCACAGGAGACACUAUGAAAUUUGAGGCUCCGAGGGGGCGUACACUAUGGAGGUCGAGAAAGGACGCAAUAUGUCGCAGAUUGGAGGAGAUGGAUGGGCCCGUUUCCUCACCCGCAUGCGUCUUACUGGUGGUGAGUUGAUCAGCUUCUCCUUCAGAGCAGAAAGACCCAAGCUGGCUGUCAUUUAUCUCAACCUGGUGGAAGAUGAUGAAGAUGACGAAGAUGAUGAAGAUAAUGAGGACCCACUCGAUGAAGAUGAUGAGAACCCACUUCAUGAAGCCAUCGUAGCUCAAAGAAUGAGGCUGAGCGAGAAGGAGGUGUGCAACCUACGGGACAUAAUUCCGCCACAUGAUGACUUUGUCGGGGUGCCAUUCGUGACCCGCCUGACAAGUACCAUGGUUGAUCGGCAUGAAAUGGUAUGUUAUACUGACUGUAGUAAUUUGAAUAUAUAUAUAUAUAUAUAUAUAUAUAUAUAUAUAUAUAUAUNNNNNNNNNNNNNNNNNNNNNNNNNNNNNNNNNNNNNNNNNNNAUGCAAAUUAUCCGAUGAUAUGCUUAGUGAAUCCGAUGAUAUGCUUAGUGUAGAGUCCAAUGAUAUGCUUUGUGGAAUCUAGUCGAUGAUAUGCUUUAGUGUAGAGUACACUAUGGAGGUCGAGAAAGGACGCAAUAUGUCGCAGAUUGGAGGAGAUGGAUGGGCCCGUUUCCUCACCCGCAUGCGUCUUACUGGUGGUGAGUUGAUCAGCUUCUCCUUCAGAGCAGAAAGACCUAAGCUGGCUGUCAUUUAUCUCAACCUGGUGGAAGAUGAUGAAGAUGACGAAGAUGAUGAAGAUAAUGAGGACCCACUCGAUGAAGAUGAUGAGAACCCACUUCAUGAAGCCAUCGUAGCUCAAAGAAUGAGGCUGAGCGAGAAGGAGGUGUGCAACCUACGGGACAUAAUUCCGCCACAUGAUGACUUUGUCGGGGUGCCAUUCGUGACCCGCCUGACAAGUACCAUGGUUGAUCGGCAUGAAAUGGUAUGUUAUACUGACUGUAGUAAUUUGAAUAUAUAUAUAUAUAUAUAUAUAUAUAUAUAUAUAUAUAUAUAUAUAUAUAUAUAUAUAUAUAUAUGUUUUAUUGUUAUACUUACAAAUGCAAAUUAUCCGAUGAUAUGCUUAGUGAAUCCGAUGAUAUGCUUAGUGUAGAGUCCAAUGAUAUGCUUUGUGGAAUCUAGUCGAUGAUAUGCUUUACUGUAGAGUACACUAUGGAGGUCGAGAAAGGACGCAAUAUGUCGCAGAUUGGAGGAGAUGGAUGGGCCCGUUUCCUCACCCGCAUGCGUCUUACUGGUGGUGAGUUGAUCAGCUUCUCCUUCAGAGCAGAAAGACCCAAGCUGGUUGUCAUUUAUCUCAACCUGGUGGAAGAUGAUGAAGAUGACGAAGAUGAUGAAGAUAAUGAGGACCCACUCGAUGAAGAUGAUGAGAACCCACUUCAUGAAGCCAUCGUAGCUCAAAGAAUGAGGCUGAGCGAGAAGGAGGUGUGCAACCUACGGGACAUAAUUCCGCCACAUGAUGACUUUGUCGGGGUGCCAUUCGUGACCCGCCUGACAAGUACCAUGGUUGACCGGCAUGAAAUGGUAUGUUAUACUGACUGUAGUAAUUUGAAUAUAUAUAUAUAUAUAUAUAUAUAUAUAUAUAUAUAUAUAUAUAUGUUUUAUUGUUAUACUUACAAAUGCAAAUUAUCCGAUGAUAUGCUUAGUGAAUCCGAUGAUAUGCUUAGUGUAGAGUCCAAUGAUAUGCUUUGUGGAAUCUAGUCGAUGAUAUGCUUUAGUGUAGAGUCUGAUCACAUGCUUAUUAGUGUAGAAUCCAAGGAACUAUUAAUAGUGUAGAUAAUCCAUAUAUAUUUAUUAGUAGAAUUCAUGCUUAAUUAGUACAAAUGUGUAGUACUGUUUUUGGUAGUGUAGAAAUCUAUACUUAAUAGAAAUAUAUUUGCAAGAGUAUGUGUGAGGCUAUUUAUUAAUUGAUAUGUUUUUCUUAUUCAGAAAUUGCGAAAGAACCUAUCUGUGAGUUGUGGUAUUGUGCAUGAUGAAGAAGGCUCAGCUGGACUAUGCCUUACCGCAAGGGGCUCCGUCACCACCUGUACUUACCGCAUGGACACAGACGGUCGCACACACUUAAACUCGGUUGGGUGGAAGAGAUUUCUCGUUGGCAAGAAUCUUCGUGUUGGACAGGCCAUCCUAAUUACUAUCAGGAACACCCACCGCCCAGACUUCAGUAUGAUAAUCGUCGUCGAUAUCAUCUAGAACUACAUAUGUGUGUGUGGCUAUAUCAUCUAGAACUACAUAUGAUGAUCGUCGUCGAUAUCAUGUAGAACUAUAUAUGAUGAUCGUCGUCGAUAUCAUCUAGAACUAUAUAUGAUGAUCAUCAUCGAUAUCACCUUGUACGGUUUGAGGAUGUAUGUUGACUAUAUAUGAAAUUGUUAUUUAGUACUCCUUCCGUUCCAAAUUACUCGUCAUGGUUUUGAACUAAAACCACGACGAGUAAUUUGGAACGGAGGUAGUACUACCUGGUACCUAUAAUGCUUUAUGAAAUUGAUAUCUAAUAGUACCUAGUAUCUGGAAAUUGCAAUUUAUUAAAACUGAAACUGGGUAGGAAGCGGGGGAAAAUGGUGAAACACAUAGCAAUAGCGCGAGGCUAGGAAAGCGCUACAACUAACUAAUAGUAGCGUGUUCUGGAAAAGCAUUGCUGAUAUAGUCAAUAGUAGUAGCGCUGGUGCAAACCGGGCUACUACUAACAGUUAAUUGUAGCGCCUUAUUGGUAGCACGGCUGCCCGCGCUGCUGAUAGCCUCAAAACCCGCGCUACGUACUACUAGGGUUUUCCCUAGUAGUGAUGGAGCAGGUGCAGGCGCACUGCAACACCGGAGCAGCCUGCGUCGACUCCUAUGUCAGCGUUCUGGUAGGCACAAGAAGAGCAGAAUUACAACAUGUUACUCCUCGAGCAGCACCGGCUUGCAGAGGGCCAAAUCUUUGGUGAACACGCAAGCCAGGUGGCCGUGACCGCCAUGGCCACAGUGAACCAGAACUUUGUUGCGAAGCAGCGGCCGCUCUUCGAGGCCGAGUGCACUGCUCACAAAGCAGAGCUGGCUGUCGGUGUCACCGGACACGGACGCGUCCUANNNNNNNNNNNNNNNNNNNNNNNNNNNNNNNNNNNNNNNNNNNNNNNNNNNNNNNNNNNNNNNNNNNNNNNNNNNNNNNNNNNNNNNNNNNNNNNNNNNNNNNNNNNNNNNNNNNNNNNNNNNNNNNNNNNNNNNNNNNNNNNNNNNNNNNNNNNNNNNNNNNNNNNNNNNNNNNNNNNNNNNNNNNNNNNNNNNNNNNNNNNNNNNNNNNNNNNNNNNNNNNNNNNNNNNNNNNNNNNNNNNNNNNNNNNNNNNNNNNNNNNNNNNNNNNNNNNNNNNNNNNNNNNNNNNNNNNNNNNNNNNNNNNNNNNNNNNNNNNNNCAGAAAAAUUCCUACGCACACACAGGAUCAUGGUGAUGCAUAGCAACAAGAGGGGAGAGUGUGUCCACGUACCCUCGUAGACCGAAAGCGGAAGCGUUAGCACAACGCGGUUGAUGUAGUCGUACGUCUUCACGAUCCGACCGAUCCAAGUACCUAACGCACGGCACCUUCGAGUUCAGUACACGUUCAGCUCGAUGACGUCCCAUGAACUCUGAUAUAGUAGAGCUUCACAGGAGAGUUUCUUCAGCACGACGGCGUGAUGACGGUGAUGAUGAUGCUACCGAUGCAGGGCUUCGCCUAAGCACUGCUACGAUAUGAUCGAGGUGGAUUAUGGUGGAGGGGGGCACCACACACGGCUGGGAGAGAUCAACAGAUCAACUCCAUGUCCCCGUAUAUAAAGGAGCAAGGGGGGAGGCCGGCUGGCCCCUAUAGGUGCGCCAGGAGGAGUCCUCCUCCUAGUAAGAGUAGGACUCCCCUCUUUCCUACUCCUACUAGGAGGGGGAAAGGAAGGGGGAGAGGGAGAAGGAAAGGGGGGCGCCGUCCCCCUCUCCUAGUCCAAUUCGGACCAGAGGGGGAGGGGCGCGUGGCCUGCCCUAGGCCAGCCCUCUCUCUCUCCACUAAGGCCCAUAAGGCCCACUAGUUCUCCCGAUGGAGGGGGGUCCAGUAACCCUCCGGCACUCUGGUCUUCUCCGAAACUAACCGAAACACUUCCUGUGUCCAAAUAUAGUCGUCCAAUAUAUCGAUCUUUACGUCUCGACCAUUUUGAGACUCCUUGUCAUGUCCGUGAUCAUAUUCGGGACUCCGAACUACCUUCGGUACAUCAAAACACAAAAACUCAUAAUAUCGAUCGUCACUGAACUUUAAGCGUGCGGACCCUAUGGGUUCGAGAACUAUGUAGACAUGACCGAGACACGUCUCCAGUCAAUAACCAAUAGCGGAACCUGGAUGCUCAUAUUGGCUCCUACGUAUUCUACGAAGAUCUUUAUCGGUCGAAAUGCAUAACAAUAUACAUUUGUUCCCUUUGUCAUCAAUAUGUUACUUACCCGAGAUUCGAUCGUCGAUAUUUCAAUACCUAGUUCAAUCUCAUUACCGGCAAGUCUCUUUACUUGUUCAGUAAUGCAUCAUCCCGCAACUAACUCAUUAGUUAUAUUGCUUGCAAGGCUUAUAGUGAUGUGCAUUACCCAAGAGGGCCCAGAGAUACCUCUCCGACAAUCGGAGUGACAAAUCCUAAUCUCGAUCUAUGCCAACUCAACAAGUACCAUCGGAGACACCUGUAGAGCACCUUUAUAAUCACCCAGUUAUGUUGUG